rnacentral:rRNA from 1 species
UACGGGGGGGGGCAAGCGUUGUUCGGAAUUACUGGGCGUAAAGGGCUCGUAGGCGGCCAACUAAGUCAGACGUGAAAUCCCUCGGCUUAACCGGGGAACUGCGUCUGAUACUGGAUGGCUAGAGGUUGGGAGAGGGAUGCGGAAUUCCAGGUGUAGCGGUGAAAUGCGUAGAUAUCUGGAGGAACGCCGGUGGCGAAGGCGGCAUCCUGGACCAAUUCUGACGCUGAGGAGCGAAAGCCAGGGGAGCAAAGCGGG